GAUGAACGCUAGCGGCAGGCCUAACACAUGCAAGUCGAGGGGUAGAGGAAGCUUGCUUCCUUGAGACCGGCGCACGGGUGCGUAACGCGUAUGCAAUCUACCUUUUACAGAGGGAUAGCCCAGAGAAAUUUGGAUUAAUACCUCAUAGUAUUUUCGAAUGGCAUCAUUUGAUUAUUAAAGUUCCAACGGUAAAAGAUGAGCAUGCGUCCUAUUAGCUAGAUGGUAAGGUAACGGCUUACCAUGGCAACGAUAGGUAGGGGUCCUGAGAGGGAGAUCCCCCACACUGGUACUGAGACACGGACCAGACUCCUACGGGAGGCAGCAGUGAGGAAUAUUGGACAAUGGGCGCAAGCCUGAUCCAGCCAUGCCGCGUGCAGGAAGACGCAUCUAUGGUGUGUAAACUGCUUUUGUACGGGAAGAAACACUCCCUCGCGAGGGAGCUUGACGGUACCGUAAGAAUAAGGAUCGGCUAACUCCGUGCCAGCCGCCGCAGUAACAC
rnacentral:rRNA from 1 species